CAACCCUCAAGCCUGGCUUGGUAUUGGGCAACGCGGUCCGCCGCGUGCCUCAAAUCGACCGGCUGGGUCUUCUGUCCCCUAAGCGUUGUGGAAACUAUUCGCUAAAGGGUGCUCGGGAGGCUACGCCGUAAAACAAACCCAUUUCUAA
rnacentral:misc_RNA from 1 species